rnacentral:rRNA from 1 species
UACAGAGGUCCCAAGCGUUGUUCGGAUUCACUGGGCGUAAAGGGUGCGUAGGUGGUGGGGUAAGGCGGAUGUGAAAGCUCGGAGCUCAACUCCGAAAUGGCAUUGGAAACUACCCUGCUAGAGGAUUGGAGGGGGGACUGGAAUACUUGGUGUAGCAGUGAAAUGCGUAGAUAUCAAGUGGAACACCAGUGGCGAAGGCGAGUCCCUGGACAAUACCUGACACUGAGGCACGAAAGCUAGGGGAGCAAACAGG